rnacentral:rRNA from 1 species
UAGAUACCCUGGUAGUCCAUGCCGUAAACGUUGGGCACUAGGUGUGGGGGACAUUCCACGUUUUCCGCGCCGUAGCUAACGCAUUAAGUGCCCCGCCUGGGGAGUACGGCCGCAAGGCUAAAACUCAAAGGAAUUGACGGGGGCCCGCACAAGCGGCGGAGCAUGCGGAUUAAUUCGAUGCAACGCGAAGAACCUUACCAAGGCUUGACAUGAACUGGAAAUACCUGGAAACAGGUGCCCCGCUUGCGGU